UUCUCGUGUGAUAUGACAAACGUCAGCACAGUAGGCUGUGUGUCACAGUAACCGGUUUGGCUUGGCUUUUCAAAACACGAAAUUAUUAUUCGGGUCGACUCAAAUACGAAACAAUAUAAAAAAUUCUUAAAAUUGUUUGGAAUUGAUUUGGAAAUACAGCCAAUGAAAAUGCAGAAGAACAACAAAUUUCCCUUGAAGAGCGCCGCGUUGGCGCUUCAACAUUAGAUGAAGUUGCCAUCGUGAUGUUGGUGAAAACAUAGAAAGACGUGAUAUUGUGAUUGCACGUCGCGAUGUUGGGCAAUUGCAAAAAAUAUCUGAAACACAUCGUUUAUAUAACACGUUGCUAUACUCGCUCAUGUUUUGGCAAGGAGAAGAUGGAUAUCAUUUUAAUAUCAAAAUAAUAAAUCCAUUGAGUGGUGAAGAAACUACAAAGAAAAUUAGUUCGAUGAAAUAUUACGCACAACGUUUGAUGAUUCGGCAGAAGAGGAAAAAAGGUCUAUAGCAAGUUGAUUGAAAUUUUUGAACAAAUUGAACAUUUCCAUAAUGGCAAUGAAAACCGAAUUAAUUUACUGAAAACCAGGAUUAAUAAAUGUUCUAAAGUAACAAACGUCACGUCUUCAUGAGAAAAAAACACCGUAAUUGUCGUCAUCUAUGUAUGUAUAUCGUAAAAUGCAAGUGCAGUUUACAAUGUAAUCGUUGUUCAUAUGGCUUGACGCCUGAUAACUUACUCGAUUUUUUUUACACAAUACCAGACCUGGUGGAUAUUGAUUUGGAAUCGGAUUCAACUGCUACUGCAGAUUCAUCUUACCGACCUGAGACAUCAGACAUGGAUUUUGAUGAAGUUUUUUUAUUUAGAAUACGAAAAGGUUUGAUACCUCCAAUUAUGCUAUGAUGUGCGGCAGAUUUGGUGUGUUAGACAGAGUUGCUGCUUGUUCCGCUACGGCACUUAUUAAAGAUGUAGGUUUCAAAGACAACUCUAAUUUAUAUGUAAAUAAAUGGAUGUUGAUUUCUGAUCAACAUAAAUGGACUGCUCGAUCUUCAUAGCCAAUGGUUACAAAAUCGGAUGACUAUAUAAUACCUACUUUACUGCGAAGAGCUGCAGCGAUGAACUCUUUCGCUUGUCACCAUUGCGAAAACCACACAACGAGCUUUCGUUUGAAAGCUUGAGAAGUAAAAGUUACGCGAUACCCUACAUUAGUCAGGUAUCUGGGUUUGAAACUUAGUUAGUUAGUUCCUUUGGAAUUUUGGCAGUGCGCUACAACCGAUUCCUCACUAAAAUGUAUAUCAAAUAAGAUUUUAUGAAUUCCAGUCAUUUCGACUGAGUCGGAGAGGAUGUUCAGCAAGGCUAGCUUAAUAGCAAGCGAGAGAAGAGCAUCACUAAAACCUAAAAAUGUGGAGAUGCUGACGUUCCUAAAUAGGAACAUAUGGAUCGCCAAAUAAAUGAGCCAAAUUUAAACGUGAACUUGGGAUCUCCAAAAAAACUUUAUUUUUAAGUUACUUAUGAAGUGUACUUUACUUGAAGUAAUAUAUUUUUUUUUUAUAUUUAAUUUUUA